rnacentral:misc_RNA from 1 species
GAAUUGCGAUAUGUAAUGUGAAUUGCAGAAUUCAGUGAAUCAUCGAAUCUUUGAACGCACAUUGCACCCUCAGGUCUUUUCCAGAGGGUAUGCCUGUUUGAGUGUCAUUAACAACAUCAAUGUAGACAUUUUGUUAUGUUCUACACUUGGAAGUUGAAGGCUUGCUGGCUGUCAUAGUCAGCUCCUUUUAAAUUCAUUAGCAGGACUUUGAAGACUUGGCUUCGGUUUGAUAAUAUUGUCUAUGCCGUUGCUAAGGAACGUUUUGUCUGGCUUAUAACUGUCCUUUGGACUGUCUCUUAAGGAGGCAUAACAUUUUUUGAACUUGACCUCAAAUCAGGUAGGACUACCCGCUGAACUUAA